UGUACACGCUGUGACUAGCAUAUCAAUAAGCGGAGGAAAAGAAACUAACAAGGAUUCCCCUAGUAACGGCGAGUGAAGCGGGAAGAGCUCAAAUUUGAAAUCUUAAAGGGUUUCCCUUUACGAAUUGUAGUUUAAAGAAGUGUUUUCUGUUGAGGUUUUGGUAAAAGUUCUUUGGAAUAGGACAUCAUAGAGGGUGAGAAUCCCGUAUUUGACCUUUACUUUCAACUUUGUGAUACACUUCCAAAGAGUCGGAUUGUUUGGGAAUGCAGUCCAAAAUGGGUGGUAAAUUUCAUCUAAAGCUAAAUAUUGGCGAGAGACCGAUAGCGAACAAGUACCGUGAGGGAAAGAUGAAAAGAACUUUGAAAAGAGAGUUAAACAGUACGUGAAAUUGUCAAAAGGGAAGCGUUUGACACCAGUGUUGUUUUUCUGAAAAUCAAUUAAAGAACUGUUUAUGCUAAGUUGUUUAGACUUUAUCAGCUAACUGUUUAGUUUUGAGCUUUUCUUUAAUGCACUUUUCAGUUAACAAGUCAGCAUCAAUUUCUUUUGCUGUAAAAAAGCUUGAGGAAGGUGGCUUGAGAUUCGUCUUAAGUGUUUAUAGCCUCUUGCCUAUGCAGUCGGAGAGAUUGAGGUCUGCAGCGUAGAUCCUUCGGGGCUAAAUGCAUUUGUGCUAAGUUAUAGCAUUUUAUAGACAACUUGUUGACUAUGAUUUGUCUUGUAGCUUACUCGCUUAUGUUAUUUUACCUACGCUUAGGAUGUUGAGUCGUAGAGCACGCAG
rnacentral:rRNA from 1 species